GACAUUAGACGAAUCAUCUGGAAAGAUGAAUCAAAGAAGGUAAUAAUCCUGUAGUCGAAAAUGUUGUCUCUCUUGAGUGGAUCCUGAGUACGACGGAGCACGUGAAAUUCCGUCGGAAUCUGGGAGGACCAUCUCCUAAGGCUAAAUACUCUCUAGUGACCGAUAGUGAACCAGUACCGUGAGGGAAAGGUGAAAAGCACCCCGGAAGGGGAGUGAAAUAGAACCUGAAACCGUGUGCUUACAAGUAGUCAGAGCCCGUUAAUGGGUGAUGGCGUGCCUUUUGUAGAAUGAACCGGCGAGUUACGAUUUGAUGCAAGGUUAAGCAGUAAAUGUGGAGCCGUAGCGAAAGCGAGUCUGAAUAGGGCGUUUAGUAUUUGGUCGUAGACCCGAAACCAGGUGAUCUACCCUUGGUCAGGUUGAAGUUCAGGUAACACUGAAUGGAGGACCGAACCGACUUACGUUGAAAAGUGAGCGGAUGAACUGAGGGUAGCGGAGAAAUUCCAAUCGAACCUGGAGAUAGCUGGUUCUCUCCGAAAUAGCUUUAGGGCUAGCCUCAAGUGAUGAUUAUUGGAGGUAGAGCACUGUUUGGACGAGGGGCCCCUCUCGGGUUACCGAAUUCAGACAAACUCCGAAUGCCAAUUAAUUUAACUUGGGAGUCAGAACAUGGGUGAUAAGGUCCGUGUUCGAAAGGGAAACAGCCCAGACCACCAGCUAAGGUCCCAAAAUAUAUGUUAAGUGGAAAAGGAUGUGGCGUUGCCCAGACAACUAGGAUGUUGGCUUAGAAGCAGCCAUCAUUUAAAGAGUGCGUAAUAGCUCACUAGUCGAGUGACACUGCGCCGAAAAUGUACCGGGGCUAAACAUAUUACCGAAGCUGUGGAUUGUCCUUUGGACAAUGGUAGGAGAGCGUUCUAAGGGCGUUGAAGCAUGAUCGUAAGGACAUGUGGAGCGCUUAGAAGUGAGAAUGCCGGUGUGAGUAGCGAAAGACGGGUGAGAAUCCCGUCCACCGAUUGACUAAGGUUUCCAGAGGAAGGCUCGUCCGCUCUGGGUUAGUCGGGUCCUAAGCUGAGGCCGACAGGCGUAGGCGAUGGAUAACAGGUUGAUAUUCCUGUACCACCUAUAAUCGUUUUAAUCGAUGGGGGGACGCAGUAGGAUAGGCGAAGCGUGCGAUUGGAUUGCACGUCUAAGCAGUAAGGCUGAGUAUUAGGC
rnacentral:rRNA from 1 species